CUUAGCUAAAGGGUUUA
rnacentral:tRNA from 1 species